rnacentral:lncRNA from 1 species
AAAGCCAGUCUCUGAUGUUAACACAAUUUCCAACUCAAGUAGUAGAUGGACUGCUACUACCAAGACUGGACAGACUCCCUAGCUGCUGCUGUGCCCAAGAACCACUGCUGAUUCAUCUCCUGGUGACUGCACAUAGAGCUGACAGCCAGAAUGAAUGUUUGUCUCGGUGCUGGCACCAGGGGGGCUUUUGCAGAGACUAUUUCACGGUCCAUUGAACCCUAAAGGACAUUGUUUUUAAAGGCAUAUUAUCAGAAU